UUGCAUCCACUGAUAGACCUGAGGCAAACUUCACUUGCCUCUGUGUUUGCAUAGUGAUGCUACACUGAAAUUUCCUCGCGCUUUCUGACUGCUACGUUGUAUAGCAUCACAGAUUGAAUUGAGGAAUACAUGU